GACGAACGCUGGCGGCGUGCCUAAUACAUGCAAGUAGGACGCACAGUCUAUACCGUAGCUUGCUACACCAUAGGCUGUGAGUUGCGAACGGGUGAGUAACGCGUAGGUAACCUGCCUAUUAGAGGGGGAUAACUAUUGGAAACGAUAGCUAAUACCGCAUAACAGUAUGUAACACAUGUUAGAUGCUUGAAGGAUGCAAUUGCAUCGCUAGUAGAUGGACCUGCGUUGUAUUAGCUAGUAGGUAGGGUAAUGGCCUACCUAGGCGACGAUACAUAGCCGACCUGAGAGGGUGAUCGGCCACACUGGGACUGAGACACGGCCCAGACUCCUACGGGAGGCAGCAGUAGGGAAUCUUCGGCAAUGGGGGGAACCCUGACCGAGCAACGCCGCGUGAGUGAAGAAGGUUUUCGGAUCGUAAAGCUCUGUUGUUAAGGAAGAACGAGUGUGAGAAUGGAAAGUUCAUACUGUGACGGUACUUAACCAGAAAGGGACGGCUAACUACGUG
rnacentral:rRNA from 1 species